CUGUGAAUCUGAUAGGAACAGAGCGGCUAGUGUGACACCUCGUGGUUUGCCGUACCAAAAUUAUUUUAUUUUCAUCAGGGAUGGAACGGGAACAGAAAUAAACCAGCUGGCGUGCAACAAAGUGGUUUCCCACCGUCAUUCUCCACACACAGCGCAGAGGAGAGAGAGUUAGCCCAGACCCGCUACAUUUAGACUAAACAGACAGGAGACAAAUGGAGAAACAAGUUGAGCAGCAGUUCUCUCUGAGGAGCUGCAUCCUGACUGACGGGCUGCACAUAUCCAUCAAAGCCAGGACUGAAAGAGGGGAUUGUUUUUAGCAGCUGCAGAGUUAAAGCAGAGCUGCUGGAAGCUGGAAGUCCGUGGUGUUAUACAGCAGAGUGGAGAGCUGGAAACAGGAUUCACUCCGUUGUCAGCCUCCAAAAGAAGAACACCUGUAGUACCACCUGGAAUGUGCCAAAACCACCCUGGGCUCCAAACCACCAGCCUACCUCCAGACGCCAUACUCACUACCUCUGCAUCUGUGCAUCGGGAACGAGAGGUUUUCCCCUGAAGGAAUGAAAGGAGUCUUACCAAAGUGGACAUUCCCCCCUCCCUAAACACCAGACAAUCAAUUACGACAACUGAAGCACCACCGUGUUCCUCUUCAUCACUUACAUGUGGCCUCAGUUCUCGCCUUUGUUGUUCUCUCCUCGCCCAAGAGGGCCCUGAAGGGUGUGAUUUCACUCUCUGAUCAAAAGAACCAGUCGCAUAUAGACACAAAGGUCUGCUGACUGCUGGGAACUGUUCUGACAGCUCACGGAGAAGAGCGUCACGGUGGUCCUACGGGGCAGAUAUAGACAGAGCUCAUGCGGAUUCAUCAGCAUGCAUGAAAUUAGGAGAAAUAUUCACUUACUGUAUAUAUUAUCCUUCAAGAUAGACAGACUGUGCACAACUUUGAUGUCGCCGCUGUAUGAGACAGCAAUUCUGACGUGAACUAUGAAGCACUGACGUCCUUCAGUUGAAUUUCUAUGUGGGUCAGUUUAACCUAAAUCACAACAAAGGCUUUUUUUCUUUUUUUAAACUUGCUUUUGAGCAUGGCUGGCUACGCAUAUUCUUUUGUCUUUAGGAUGUUUCACAGGGAAAACAGCAGCAAUGUACACAGUGCACAGGGAGGUCUGUAAAUUAUUCAGAGCGGAGGUAAUCAAACUGUGAGGUGGAGGGAAGGCGUGCAGGGGACAGGUGUACUGUGGUAACUGGUAGCAACAGGGUGCUAUUCCUAAUGAUGGAAAGUAACUAAAUACAUGUACUCAAGUACUGUACUCAAGUAACAUUUUACACAUUUAUCUAACAGAUUUAGUUGCUUUACACAUUAAUUUAUUCAUAAAAUAUAUGAAAAUCUUGUAAAAUAGGAUUCUUUGCUAUGGAUUAAACUACCAGACCAUGAAUAUAAAUAGAGCUGGAAGACAAUUAAUGGUUUAUUUGAGUGAUAAGAUAUUUAUCGUCAGCUUUUGGGAUAAUUUUAUACAAAAACGCCGAAAACAUUUCAUGGCUGAUUUCCC
ensembl:lncRNA